UACAGAGGGUGCGAGCGUUGUCCGGAAUCACUGGGCGUAAAGGGCGCGUAGGCGGCCUGGUAAGUAGGAGGUGAAAUCUCACAGCUCAACUGUGAGGCUGCCUUCUAGACUGUCAGGCUUGAGCACAGUAGAGGCUGGUGGAAUUCCCGGUGUAGCGGUGGAAUGCGUAGAGAUCGGGAAGAACAUCUGUGGCGAAGGCGGCCAGCUGGGCUGUUGCUGACGCUGAGGCGCGACAGCGUGGGGAGCAAACAGG
rnacentral:rRNA from 1 species